UUGCCUGCGUCCUCCCGGAGCCGUCCUAUCUCCCCGCACCUAGCAUCCAGGGAAACGCACCGCGCACCGACGGAGCGGACAUGGGCAGAGCGAUGGUGGUCAGGCUGGGGCUGGGGCUGCUGCUUCUGGCACUGCUCCUACCCACGCAGAUUUAUUCAAACCAAACAGCUGUUGUGACACUUUCAAGUAACUCCUCACAGAGUACCUCUGCUGCUCCCAAUUCAACUAAUGCUACACCCAGCACAGGUGGCAGUGCCCUGCAGUCAACAGCCAGUCUCCUUGUGAUCUCGCUCUCUCUUCUACAUCUCUACUGUUAGAGACUCAGGCCAAGAAACGUCUCUACUUCCCCAUCUUCUAAACCCAAUCGGAAUGGUGACUAGAAGUCCAGUGUGUCAAGGAAGAAGCUGGUCUGCAUCAAAUCUACCAAUUCCACACCUGAUUUUAUUGGCACAGAAAACGUUGAGAAUUCCAAAUUGAUUGGUUUGAAGGGUUUCACAAGUGAUGAAUGCCAAUAUUAAAUCUGCUGGAGUUUCAUGUGCAAGAUAAAAAGAGAUAACAUCCAAAAUUGAGACAUGAUUUCCUUGAAUGAGACAAAAGAAAUAUGGACAUUUAAAACUCUAUCUUGAAAACAAGAAUAGAUUUUGUCUAGAGAUAAAGGAUGGAAUGCGGAAUGGAGAUUUCAGUUUUUAUUUGGUUCAUGAAAUCUAUAAGGCCGUAAAACAGUUAGGUAAUAUAAAAAGCUUCCAUGAUUCUAUUUAUACAUACACUAGAGGGAACUUCCAGGUGUUUCUGUAAAUCCUCAAUGUAUUGUUUCAGCAGUACUAAUUUAAUGCUGAUAUAUUCUAGAAAAAGUUUCACAUUGUUAAGCUAUUUCUGUUCCUUUGGGAACUGAACUCUUUCCUCUGUGGUUUUUGGAUUUGACAUUAUGUUUGAACUUUUAUGUAGUAAUUGACAUGUGCCAGGGCAAUGAUAGAUUGGAAUUCACCCCAAAUCCAGGCAUCAUGAGUAAAUCUUGCUUAUCCUCUCAAAGUCAAGUGGUAGGCAUCUCCCAUCUCCUGUUUUCAUUCAACAAGAGUGCCAGAUUCCUUUAGCUAAACUGAUUCCAAAGAGUAGAAUUGCAUUGACCUCAACUAAUUUCAAAAUAUUGCUUUUUAUUUCUACAUCUGUUGAAUACUUUUCAUAAUUGAAAAUGGUCCGCUUUGAAGGUAAAAUGGCACUUGAAAUUAGAAAGGCAACUAUGUGAAGAAGCCAAAUUUAUAAAUCAGCAUUUGGGAAGUGAAGACUGGAAGCUAGCUUGCAUAUUAAAUUCACAAAAACUUUUAUACUUUUUCUGUAAAUACUUUUUUUUUUAAAACUAUGGAUCAGAAUAGCCACAUUUUGGAACACUUUCUGUUAUCAGUCAAUAUUUUUAGGUAGUUAGAACCUGAUCCUAAGCUUAAAAGCAGUUUUGAUCCUUUAAAUCUUUUACAACUGCCUUGAAACACAGAAACCUUUUGAAAAAUACACACUCCCUAAAAUCUUUUGUUCGCAUGUUCACACACUGAUGCUUACAUGUUCCAGAAUCUAAUAUGGCCACCAUAGUCUUGAUAACCCAAAUCAUUUUUUCUCAUCUUUAGAAACCUACACGGAACAACCAGAUCAAACAGAUCUAAAGCUACUGUGUGUGUGAAUGAACAUUCCCCUUUGCUUCAUACCUGAAUGCUGUACAUCUAUUUGGAUUGUAUAUUGUGUUUGUGUAUUUAUGCUUUGAUUCAUAGUAACUUCUCAUGUUAUGGAAUUGAUUUGCAUUGAACACAAACUGUAAAUAAAAAUAAAUAAAUGGCUGAAAGAGCAA
rnacentral:lncRNA from 1 species